rnacentral:lncRNA from 1 species
GGUCCAUCCUUGGUCUCAAGUCUAGAUCAAGAGGUAUAAGACUAAACCUUCACUUUGUUCUUCUCUAAAAUGUUAUGAUGCAUUAUAUAUAAACCUAUGAACCUUGAAGGGGAUUUGCAUGACUAUAGCUUUGAUAAUUUGUGUUAAAUGCUUCCGCUGCUUUCGUAUAUUAAAUUUGAUUUGUAUAUGCAUGAUAGUCAUUUUGAAAUCCCUAUGUGUAAAACUCAUAAUUUUCCCUUCACCACGUUUA